GACGAACGCUGGCGGCGUGCUUAACACAUGCAAGUCGAACGGAAAGGCCCUGCUUUUGUGGGGUGCUCGAGUGGCGAACGGGUGAGUAACACGUGAGUAACCUGCCCUUGACUUUGGGAUAACUUCAGGAAACUGGGGCUAAUACCGGAUAGGAGCUCCUGCUGCAUGGUGGGGGUUGGAAAGUUUCGGCGGUUGGGGAUGGACUCGCGGCUUAUCAGCUUGUUGGUGGGGUAGUGGCUUACCAAGGCUUUGACGGGUAGCCGGCCUGGGAGGGUGGCCGGCCUCCAUGCGACUGCGAUACGGACCAGACGGCUACGGGAGACAGCAGGCGGGAAUAUUGCACAAUGGGCGGGAGCCUGAUGCAGCAGCGCCGCGUGCGGGAUGACGGCCUUCGGGUUGUAAACCGCUUUCGCCUGUGACGAAGCGGGAGUGACGGUAAUGGGUAAAGAAGCACCGGCUAACUACGUG
rnacentral:rRNA from 1 species